rnacentral:rRNA from 1 species
AUACGUAGGGGGCAAGCGUUAUCCGGAUUUACUGGGUGUAAAGGGAGUGUAGGUGGUCUGGCAAGUCAGAUGUGAAAGCCCGCGGCUCAACUGCGGGACUGCAUUUGAAACUGUCAGACUGGAGUGCAGGAGAGGAAAGUGGAAUUCCUAGUGUAGCGGUGAAAUGCGUAGAUAUUAGGAAGAACACCAGUGGCGAAGGCGUCUUUCUGGACUGAAACUGACACCGAGGCUCGAAAGCGUGGGGAUCAAACAGGAUUAGAUACCGUGGUAGUCCACGCCGUAAACGAUGAAUACUAGGUGUCUGGUGGCAAAGCCAUUCGGUGCCGCAGCUAACGCAAUAAGUAUUCCACCUGGGGAGUACGUUCGCAAGAAUGAGACUCAAAGGAAUUGACGGGG